rnacentral:tRNA from 1 species
GCCCCCGUGUCCCAACUGGCAGAGGAAGCCGCCUUAAAAGCGGCGAGGUGCGGGUUCGAGUCCCGCCGGGGGCACC